rnacentral:misc_RNA from 1 species
UUCAUUCAUUUAAUCAAUACUCCGACGUACAGAGACAGCGUUCGGUGGUCCUCCGGGGGCGGCGGCGGACGCUCUGCCCCCGAGGCAAAAUGGUUGUCAACAAAGGGUUGGGGACGGGGGCGCAGGGGCCCGCCAUCUCUGGUAAUGAUCCCUCCGCAGGUUCACCUACGGAAA